GACCAACUGCAUGGUGUUUACAUGCUGCCAGGUUCCCAGAAAGGAAUUUGUCUCAUCUUAAAGCAGACUUCUGCAGUUGCUCAGGUAGCUCUUGCCCUCAAAGUGCCCUCUCUCCUUUGAAUUUGAAGGUUGCCUAUAUGAGGGGUUUAUGUGUGGACAUCAACACUGCAGGCAGCGUUUCAAUGUUGUCUGUGUAAAACAUAAAAAUUAUAGGGAUCUGCAGCCUAACAGGGAUAAUGUGAAGAUAAAUACAUGUUAUCAUAAUUAGACUGUUGGCUGGAUAGCACUUUUGAGCUUUAUCCACUUGAUACCCUAUUCUGUAAGUCCUCUCUCCAGUUUGUGCUUGCUCAACUAAUUUCAAGCUUUCUAAAUCCUAAUUCCUUAAACACCUUUCUUUCUCCUCCAGAAAGAUGGCUGUUACGAGUAAUUUCUUUGUAUGCAUUGAUUUGUAUGAUGACACUGAAGCAUGUGAAACCAAUUGAGAUCCUAACUGAACUACCUUUAAACAAAGUAGGGCAGUAUGGCAGCAAAGCCGCUGUUUGGACUGCAUGUCAGCAGAGCGACCCAGUAUGCUACGUAGGUUUCCAACUGUGCCGAAGUUCCCAGCACUGGGCAGGAUGCUUCUGUGGGUACUAAUACCCUUAGCUUGCAGUCCAAGCUGAAUAGUGCCUUACUGAGUGCUGUGGGAUGAAUUCUGGCACAGAAAGAGAGAUCAAACGCCAUACCCCGGCACGUGUCCUGGGUGAUUGAGCGUUUAUUGCAGAACCUCAGUGUUGCUGGAUAUUAAGUAAUUAUGGAUAUCUGUCUCUGUUUUGGCAAUGCUGGGGAUUCAUUACUUACAUGAUUUUGGCAGUGCUGAGGUCUGGUUUAUCUUGUCCUGCUGUGUGCUUUUGGAGGCUGGAAUCCCCACUCUUUUCUGAAGAAAGAAGCUGGUUUUCUGUAGUACAUUUCUGAUAUCCCAGCUUUGUUUCAGGACCUUUGCCUGAAUGGCUGGGCAAGUGGCAGCACAUAGCAUGGCAGGGGCAGGACUACGUGGGCAAUGGUUGCCCUGCCAAUGCACACAUGCUGGUGCUGGUGGCCACCUGGCUGCUGGCCCUAAUCACGCACCGUGGCUGGAUCCCUCUGACAGCACCAGCUCGGUUCUCUUUCCUUUACCCAAACAGAGAACCUGUCGAAAUGUUUUAUCUUUGACAUCUUCAUCCAUAUGCCAAGUGUGAAUAAAAUUACUCAGCUGUUCCAAAAGAGAGGAGGAAAGAGAGAUGUAUGAAUGGACAGACUGUGUGAUCAUAUAAACCUCAUUUCCUUAGAAAACCAAAGUAAUCGUGUAUCUCCAGCAUCAUGGAAAACAGCAAAAACUCUCUGAAAUGUUACAAAUAUUAUAAAGCAUAAAAUAUGUCUGAUUGCAGCAGAGCUAUGAUCCCAAGACUGGAAUAAGUAUGUGGAGUGGAAUUGAUUUCGGUGACUGGAAACCAAAACAUGGCCAUCUCAACCCCAAUUUCUUUCCUCUUAUACAGUUUUCUGAGGUAGGGUUUAAUGUUUUUCUCAGAGAGAAAAGUUAAAUAUUUCCUUGAAGAGUAUUUAUAAAACUAAAUAACUCUACAUGCCUGUGACAUCAAAUCACAAAUGUAGUGCUAUAUUGCCCUGUGGGCAUGCAGAUUUCAAGCUUUUCAGUAUAUUUUGCUAUUAUAACCAUUUUAAAGUGCAUUUCUUGCAAAUGCUGUAAUUUCUGGAGACACUUCAGUUGUACAUUGGCUUACAGACUGUUAUCACAGUUGUGGAAAGAAAAGAAGAAAAUAUUUCUAUUUCCAAACACCAAAAUCAGUCUGACAGGCCUGCAAUCUCUCUGAGAGAUCAAUGGUGACUUCUGUUUUCCUUUGCUUGUAUAACUGCUUUCCAACCCUUACACAAAAGCAUUAAUCCUUCCUAGAAACAAGGCACAUCUAUUCAUAAAAAACCCUUGGAGAUUUUAUUGCAGUAUGUUUUCAAGAAACAGUUUUUAAAUGCUUUCACUUAAGCAAGAGAAAUUAAAAAGAAAUAUUGGAGCUGGAAAAAUAUGAAUGACUUCUACUCAGAUACCCCAGCGUUUCUGACUAGCUUUGCUGUCACGGUCACAUUGUUUCCAUGUUAUGAGGUUGUUUUCCGCAUACUUGUUGGUCUGUGCCAUGCAUUUCAAGAAAACUGGGUUGUAGUAUAUGGGGACAAUGUGUGACAAAGUCUAGUUUGGCUAAAGAAGCUAUUCUGGAUCUGCUGAGUUACAAGGUAGUGGAUUCCCCAGUUCAUGUCUUUGCUUCCAGAAAGCUCUGCCUUUAUUAUGCUGAAGUGACUCCCCACAGGCUGGUGUCUUGAAUAUCCUCAGUGACAUUAAUUUCAUAACUUUUCCUGGCAUCUCAUUUCUGCAUUGGCUUCAUUCUGCAUUCAUACAGUUAUGAAAAUUUCCCUAAUUUUCAAUCUUAAUUUUUAUGUUAAUACUUUAUUUUAUUAGUUCCUGGUCUUCCUAAUGGGUUAAUGAGACUGAUUUAUCUCUCAUCUAGUAUCCUUUUGUACUUCUGUGAAUAAUCCUGCUUCCUCUUGGUCUUUUCUUUCCCUGAAAGCUUUUCAGCAGUUGAAGAUGUUCUACAGUAUUUUUCAAAUAUUUAAAACUAUUUAACUCCAUAUUUAAAAUAUAAAGUGGAGGACUGGAGUUAUCUCUAGUGAAGCUUGUAUUUUUGUAUGUUGUUUCUAUUAAUACUACCCAACAUCGUAUUUAAUUUUUUUUUUCUUUUUUCUUUUUUUUUUUUUCUUUUUUUCCUGACAGUCACGGCAACUUGCAUACAGUGCAUUAACAGCUUUAAUCUUCUCUGAUAUGACUGGUUGAUCUCUUUAUAAUGGUCAUUUUGAUGAUGUAUGGAUCAAUUUAAAUACAUUUUCCCCAUCUGAUUCCAGUCAUAUUUAUCUCUGCAAAAACCUUAACUGCUAUACUGAAAAUCAGUAGUGAGUUUUAACUGUCUCUUUUGGCCCAUGAACAGGCUUCAAAUGAAAAGGUUUCAAUGCUUCACUCAAGAAACAUAAUCCAUUUUAAAUGCCUGGUGCUUGAAAAUUCUUAGAAAGUGCAAGCUAUGAAUGCCUGGCUCGGCUGACCUAAGCUAGCUGCACUGCUAUGAUGUGGUAGAAAUAUAAGCAUAGGUAGGGGAAACUGCUGGGAUAGUGGGAAGAAGCGGGUAGCUGUUGCAAGGAGGAAAAACAACUGCAAACCUGAAAAACAGAUCUAAGCUGGAACUGGCAGCAAGAGAAGUCAUUUUAACGGAGCUGGGACUGAAAAUUGAAGCAUUAUAGACUCACAUGCAUCUUUGACAGCAGUACAUAAUUUCAUAGUAACCUGCAGAAGAUAACCGGGUAACAGUUCUUACUGGAUAACAGGAAUUUCCUUCCUGAGUAACUUACUUGUGCUAUUGAAGAUGGAAAUGUUCUCUUGUAGCUAACUCUUACAGGUUUUUCUUCUAUGUUCUCUGAAGUGGAUUUUCACAUUACUGCUGGUGGCAGGAAUUUACCCAACUCAUAACCAGGAUGGAAUAAAACUACCUAAUCCAGGUCACACUGGACUCAUUUGCAAAGCUGGAAGAACAAACUUCAGGAAUUCACUUGAAGAACUUGCACUUGAAGGAAAUUUGCAGAACAAGUGUUCUUCCAUGGCUGAUGAAAAAUAACUCACUUGCUCUUCUGAAUUGUCAGCGGCAUCUUGUACAUCUACACAGUAGAUAGAAGGCCAGCUUCCUUGCUGAUACUUUGCUGUGAACUUCCCAAGUGCACUUUCAAAUGUCCUCCUUUAUGGAAUUCAUGGAGGUAGAUGGAUGAUGAGGUUUACUAUUUGGCACCUAUUGGUGACCUUUAGUCACCAAUUUAGAACAAAUGUUAUACUAAACUAAUACCCUUGUUAAUUCAGAAGUUGACAUCCUAAAGGAAAAAAAAAAAAAAAAAAAAAAAAAAAAAGCCAGUUCCUUUGGCCAGCUUAUAGUAGCUUAAUGAAAUGUUCUUUUAUAUGCAUUGUGCCAUAGAGUUCUGGUCAGUAAGGUGCCAUGGACUUUCCUUAUCUGUGAUCUACCCUCAUUUUUCUCCUGAUGAUUUCCCAGCUAAUUGUUUAAAGGAUGCAUAAUUUGUUUGUAAAGGUUUCUGGCAAAAUAAAAUUAAUAAAGAUCUCAGAUGUG